rnacentral:RNase_P_RNA from 1 species
CGCCGGACGGUCGCGCGGGAUCAUGCCGCAAGGUAUUUCCGUGAGGAAAGUCCGGGCUUCACAGGACAGGAUAGCUGAUAACGUCAGCCACGGGUAACCGUCGGGAAAGUGCAACAGAAAGAAACCGCCGCGCAAGCGGUAAGGAUGGAAAGGCGAGGUAAGAGCUCACCAGUUCCCAUGGUAACAUGGGUCCGCUGUAAACCCUAUCCGAAGCAACACCCCAGGGACUGCUCGUCCGGCAUAUGGUCGGGGUGGCACGAGUUCGAUUUUCGGCUCGGAGCGUUUCCGGCGACGGGACGCAAAGAUUGAUGACCGUCUUCAACGACAGAACCCGGCUUACAGGCGAAG